GAUGAACGCUGGCGGCGUGCCUAAUACAUGCAAGUCGAGCGAACAGAUAAGGAGCUUGCUCCUGUGACGUUAGCGGCGGAAGGGGGAGUAACACGUGGGUAACCUACCUAUAAGACUGGAAUAAAUCCGGGAAACCGUGGCUAAUGCCGGAUAACAUUUAGAACCGCAUGGUUCUAAAUGGGAAGAUGGUUUUGCUAUCACUUAUAGAUGGACCCGCGCCGUAUUAGCUAGUUGGUAAGGUAAGGGCUUACCAAGGCAACGAUACGUAGCCGACCGGAGAGGGUGAUGGACACCAACGGUACUGCGCCGAGACCCAGCAUCCUCCGGGAGGCGGCAGCAGGGAAUCUUCCGAAAUGGGGGAAGCCAGGCAGGAGCAACGCCGCUUGAUGGAUGAUGGUCUUCGGAGCUUAAAACUCUGUUAUCAGGGAAGAAAAAAGGUGUAAGUAACUGUGAACGUCUUGACGGUACCUAAUCAGAAAGCCACGGCUAACUACGUG
rnacentral:rRNA from 1 species